UUUCUCCUGCAAGAGAAUAAUGAGUGUAGAUUAAAUAUCUAUCAUCUAAUUCUAUUAGCAUAACAUUGGUCUCAAAGAUGGAAGGAGAAGCUAGGUCCCACCGGGCGUGCCAUUUUGUCUACAACCACGAAUGACGCACCUCGCACGGUCUAUCUUAUUUUGAUUUUUACCGUGGGGUAGUAUUCAUGAUUCAGAUUAAUAUUUAAUUAUAUAUUGUUAUCAAGUAUUGUGGAUUCAUGGCUUCCAAUAAACGCAAGCGUUUAUUGUUAAUUACCCCUACAAAGUGUUAGGGCACCUUCGAUUGAGAGACCUUUGUAAUGCCGAAAUGGACUGAAAUUGAAUAACAUAAUUCGGUAUACAAUUACAUGGCUUAACCAGGGGCAUCCCCCUAAUGUACAUGAAUAUAAAAAAAUGACAUGAAUAUGACGAUUGAUUGAAUUUGAUUCUGAACCUUAGUUAUAUAUAUUCGAAGAUAUCAAAGUGUAUGAUCAAAUUGAUUUGGUUGGGCUCUAUAUGUUUCAGUGCUUCAACAAUAUUGUUCACCCUAAGAUGAAAGGUUGAUUAAAUUCCAUGUAUAUACAUUGGGAUUUAAUCAGAUUUGAUUCAAAUUAAACUCUAAUUAAAUGAAUUAGAGUUUGAUUUAGUUAAUUGAACUUUAAAUAUAUGUGAUAAAGUCCAACGGGAUUUGAUUUGAUAUUCAAUUUAAGCCUUCAUCCUAAAUGUAUGUGUUAGGAUUAGCCUAAAUAUUUUUAAAUUAGACUCCAAUUUAAUAUCUCAAAGUCCAGUGUAAUUAAGCCCUAUGCUUAUAUGUUAGAGCUUAAUUAUGUCUCACAUUGAGUUCACCAUAAGGUGAAAUAUUAACUAAAUCCUAAUUAUAUAUAUUAGGAUUAGUCAAAAUUUGAUUUAAAUUAAACUCUAAGUGUAUGUAUUAGAGUCUAAUUCAGUUUCAUUUGGGUUCACCAUGAGGUGAAAUAUCAACUAAAUCCUAAUUAUA
rnacentral:lncRNA from 1 species